AUUUACAAAGUUAGCAGUUGCUGUAUAAUUGACUAUGCAUACUAGCAUAUGGUUUUAAAUGAGGAAACUUAUUUAUCUAAAUUACACUUUCAACGUAUGCACAUAUAUUAAUUACUGUGUGCGUCAGUGUGCCUAUGCACAUGUUUCGAGUACGGGAGAGCCAAUUCUUUACUCUCUUAUAUUUUCUCUCUCUCACCACCGGUACUCAAUUGUUUUCGUUGUUAUUUCUAUGUGGAACUGUGCUUUAAGAGCGUAUGUAGAUCUCAGUGGCGUUGUUUGCUGCCGUUUCAUCAGCUUGCCCCUUGCCAAGCGUGAGCACUUUGCGGUUAAUCACGAUGACGGGGGCGUUUGCGACGCCAGUUGCGGUUGUUGUGGCCUGUCAAUCGCUGACUUUGCUUUGUAUUCUGCUUUUGUUGAUAAUCGGGAGCGGCGACGCCGACGCUAACGUCGCCGCGUAGUGUUCGCAAUUUAAGUUUUUGGGGCCCGUUGGGCCAGCACUGUUGUCGACGUCACGUCAGUUCAUUGCGUCGGCUUGUACAGCUUGCUAGCGCGUUUUUUUUUCGUGUUCUCGCCAAUUCUCAACACUCUGUGUGCUUGUGUAUAUACAUACAUACAUGUGCAUAUGUAUUAUUUUGUAUGCGUCUAUGUGACUGUAUGACUGUGCAUGUAUGUGUUCUGGCGUUUUGAGUAUGCUUUGUGAUAUUCUUCUCUGUUACUUCUGUCAGUGGUUCUUCUUCUUCUUGCCAGCUUUUUGUUGUUGACGUCGCCGCAUUGUUUUUAUUGCCGUUUCUGUCGUUGCCGUCGUGGCCGCCGCGCAGACCAAAAACUUGAUUGUGAUAUAAUUUGUUAAGUAUUUAUUUAUUUGUAUUUGGCACAAGCGUGCCACGACGGACCCGUUGGUUGCCCCAGUGUAAUUGCAGUUGCAUCCAAGCCACAAGUUCUCGAGGCGGCCGCAAAGCGCCUCUGCUAGAACAACAACUCGCCCAACACCAACCGUAGCUGCCGUACACUCUCCGUCUCCGGCACACUCUCACUUCUCACCUCUCACUUGCCACUGCCACUGUCACUGUCACUGGCCGCACACUGUCUCGCUCACUCACCAUGGUCUACUCCACGAACAUACUGCUGGGCAUUGUGACCAUAUUAACCGCCGUGUUCAUCUGGUCGCGUCGCACCUACGUCUAUUGGCAGCGACGUCGCGUCAAGUUUGUGCAGCCAACGCAUCUGCUGGGCAACCUGAAGAAGGUGCUCAAACUGGAGGAGUCGUUCCCGUUGCAGCUGCGCCGCUUCUAUUUUGACGAGCGCUUCCGCAACGAGCCCGUCGUGGGCAUCUACCUGUUCCAUCAGCCGGCACUGCUCAUACGGGACCUGCAGCUGGUGCGCACCGUUCUAAUCGAGGACUUUGUCAGCUUCUCCAAUCGGUUCGCCAAAUGUGACAUGCGCCACGACAAGAUGGGCUCCCUCAAUCUGUUCUUUGCCAGGCAGCCCGAAUGGCGUGAAAUUCGCACUAGACUCUCGCCGGUCUUCACCGGCGCCAAGAUCAGGCAAAUGUUCUCACUCAUGGAGGAGAUUGGCUGCGAUCUGGAGUGGUAUUUGAAGCGUUUGACGCGUGAUUUGCGACGCGGGGAAGCGUCGCGCGGUGUCAUCGUUAGCAUCAAGGAUGUGUGCGAUCUGUACAAUACGGAUAUGAUAGCGAGCAUCGCAUUUGGAUUGAGAUCGUAUAGCCUGAGGAAUACGCAGUCUGAAAUCGGCUCACAUUGUCAGGACAUAUUCAAGCCGAAUGUGCGUCGAAUAAUAGACUUCUUUGUGAUAUUCUUUCUGCCGAAGCUGGUGCCGCUGAUGCGGUCGAAGCUGUUCACGGAGAUGCACUCGGAGUUCCUGCGCCGCGUCAUCCAAUUGGUGAUCGAGGAGCGCGAACGAGGCGGCGAUCUGCGCAAUGAUCUCAUCGAAAUGCUGCUGACCCUCAAGAAGGAGGCCGAUCUACAGCAGGACAAGACGCACUUUACGCACCAUCAGGACUUUCUGGCCGCCCAGGCGGCCACCUUCGAGGUGGCCGGCAUCGAGACAUGCUCCUCAACGAUGUCCUUCGCCCUAUACGAGCUGGCCAAGCAGCCGCUAAUGCAGGAGCGGCUGCGACGCGAGAUACGGCACACGUUCGCCCUGGCCGCGGCCCAUGGGGACGGGCCGGGACUGAGCUAUGAGCUGAUUGGCGGCAUGCGGUAUCUGGAGAUGGUGGUGGAGGAGACGCUGCGCAAGUAUCCAAUUGUGCCGGUGCUGGAGCGCGAAUGCUCGCCGAUCAACAAGAAACGCUUCUACUCACUGCGCCCGCACGCCGAGUGCUAUGCCCGGCGCGGCAUGCCCGUGUUCAUCUCCAAUCUGGCCAUACACCACGAUCCGCAGUACUGGCCGGAGCCGGAACGCUUCGAUCCGGAGCGCUUCAGUGCCGAGAAUAAACCGAAGCAAACGCCCAUGUCGUAUCUGCCCUUCGGCGCCGGGCCACACAACUGCAUCGGCAUGCACAUUGGCAUGCUGCAGAUUAAGCUCGGCCUCAUCUACUUUCUGCGCCAGCAUCGCGUCGAGUUCUGUGACCGCACCGUGGACCGCAUCAGUUUCGAUGCCAAGUUCGCGCUGCUCGCCAGCGAGCAUCGCAUCUACCUCAGAGUUGUUGACUGUUUAUAGCGCACAAGCGAGCAUCAUCCCAUGACAGGAGCGAUAGAGACCAGGGCAUCAUCCACAGCAUGCAGCAUACCCAGUACACAUCCCCGACGACAUCUGACAUCCGACAUCCGACAUCCGACAUCCACAUUCAAUAUCCAUCAACAUCACAAUAUGGGAUGCAGUUUCCUUCUGCUCAUCUAAAGGCCAUUCGCUCUCAGUUCGGGCCGCCUUGAAAAGCCCUAAAUAUUUGGUGGCCUGAUCGCUGCUAUCGGCUGCCUUUUGGCUAGUGGCACCAGACACAACCACCACGCCCCCCAACAGCCCCCGCCACAGCCAUGCGAGGGUUGCUCGAUGCCAAUACCAAAUUGAAUACCAUUAUGUAUAUACAACACACACAUACAGUUACAUGCAUACAUACACACACUCACACACACACUCACACUCACACACAUACACAUAUUUGUAUAUUUACUUAAAGAAAACUUGAUAGAAUUCUAGUUGAAAGUUCUUGUGCUUUUGCUGGAAAUUGUUCUGAAGGCUGUUUUACCUUAAAAUUCACGAAGAACUGUUACUUUGAAGUUGACUAAGCUAAUUUUUUUUUUUUUUUUUUUUUUU